AUGGCCGCCCGCCUGCACCAUUUCCUCCUCCUCGCCGCGCUCCUCCUGUUGAUCGGACGCGGCGCCCCCUCCUCAGCUGGCGCGGCAGGGAACGGGAAGCAUGGCCCCGAGGAAUGCCUUCUCAACACGGUGGAGGCUUGCGCCAUCGACGCCUGGCCGGACGUGAAUGUGCAUUUCGGUUUCAUCAACUGCGUGGAGGGCCUCGUGAUGAACGAAAUACAGGGGGAGUGGGAGUCGUGCUUCCACAAACUGGGGCUCGAACCCAAGGCUGUCACGGAGUGCUACAAGAGUGAGCAUGGCCACAAGCUUUCACUCAAGUAUGGGAAACAAACUGGUGCGCUUGUGCCUCCGCUCAACGGCGUCCCACAUGUGGUGGUAGAUGGCAAGCCACGCGAGGACGGGGAAUUCGUAUCUUACGUCUGCAAGGCAUACAAGGGACGUCCUCCCAAGAUUUGCCAUGAGCCGGACCGUCACUAUCCGACCGUGGUGGAGGCAGGCAACGGUGUCAGCUACAACCCCGCCGAUUUCAAGCUCGAAGACGGCGUUGAGGUGCCGCGGACUGAUGACAACUGA
rnacentral:rRNA from 1 species